CCUACGGGUGGCUGCAGUGGGGAAUAUUGCACAAUGGGGGAAACCCUGAUGCAGCGACGCCGCGUGAGUGAAGAAGUAAUUCGGUAUGUAAAGCUCUAUCAGCAGGGAAGAAAAUGACGGUACCUGAGUAAGAAGCCCCGGCUAACUACGUGCCAGCAGCCGCGGUAAUACGUAGGGGGCAAGCGUUAUCCGGAUUUACUGGGUGUAAAGGGAGCGUAGACGGCAGUGCAAGUCUGGAGUGAAAGGCCGGGGCUCAACCCCCGGACUGCUCUGGAAACUGUACGGCUGGAGUGCAGGAGAGGGAAGUGGAAUGCCUGGUGUAGCGGUGAAAUGCGUAGAUAGUAGGAGGAACACCAGUGGCGAAGGCGGCUUACUGGACUGUAACUGACGUUGAGGCUCGAAAGCGUGGGGAGCAAACAGGAUUAGAUACCCUAGUAGUC
rnacentral:rRNA from 1 species